CUCCUUGUAUGUUUCAUAGUGUGACCUUCGAUUCUUCCUUUGAGCCGAGGGUCUUUAGGAAACAAUAAGACUGGAAGUGGGUUCAUAACGAUGGUCAAUCAAACGGAUGGUAACACUUACAAUCUUCAAUUAAAUGGUGGUCAUGAGAAUGGCAGAGCCAAAGAGUUCAACACUAAUCCGGCGAGAAACGACUGGAUUCCCAGCGGUGAAGAUUAUCAGGCUUAUUAAUCAGGUUGGAUUGACGUCCUCAAAACCCACCCGGAGUGAAAGUGAUAGAUCAAUUUAAAGUCAAGAAUCAACCAGAUGCUGAAGGUGGUCCCUUCUAUUUACCUGAAUUUGUUAAUCUUGAAUGAUUGGAGAGAGACAUGAGAGAUGAUACCACGUCCUUAGGUUGAUUAUUUUAUACUGGUUUGUAUCUGAAUAGUAUAUAAUUUCUAGUAGGGACGAUGCCAAGGCUGUUUUCGUGAUUGGCUAAUAAAAAGUUAUUGUAAGCAAACGCUGCCAAUGGUAGAAACUGAUUCUGGUGGCCUCUGAAAUCAAAUAACACAUGCUCUUAACAUAUUCUCAAGGAUCGCCUAUCAGUCCGUGGGUGAAAUGAAGUACUAAGCUCCACAUGCAUGCCAACUAUUGUGUUGAUUAACAUUGGGCAUCGAUAGUUUCCUUUUUUUAAGCUGAGCUACUGUUUGCCUUCUUUUCUUUGGGUUUUAUUUAUCCAUCAAUCAGCUUUAAACUA